UCGACUGUCUUUCCCCAUUCUCUUUUGGCGGCUUGCAAGCCGGGCCUCCUUUAUUGCUCUUAAGCCACGUACGCGCGAUAUCCACUUCCGGUACGGGAGUGCGCGCACGGACUCGAAGGUCGUGUUUCGUAAACUCCGUGUUUCCUGACGUGCCUGCUCCGUUUUAGACACUUCCGAAUCGUUUUCUGGGAAAAAUAUUGACUCCGAGGAUCGCGCGCUUCGCUCGUAAACGCUCGUCGAAGAAGUCUCAGGUUUCCGGAACGGUCUGGUCCGCGUUCUUCCGGGUGCGGCGAGAGGAAAUCCGUUUCGUGGGUCAACCAGUGCAAACUUUCUCGAUUGUUGCUGCUAGCCGAGCGGAGUGUGCUCGAAGAUGUAUGCAAACAAACAGUCGCCAGGGAUAUUUACGAUUUAUUUAGAAUCUCGCAGUGUCGAUUAGUCCUUUCAGUAGUCUCGGUGAAGUGGCUUUCGACGGUUUUAGCGCGAGCCGGUAUCGAGGUUCCGAUACGGUAGGUGUCUAUGUUUGCCGACGGUUCGACCGUUCUCUACGACGGGACUGGUAUCCUUGGCUAGAGGAGCCACUCGUCGGUGAACUCUUGGGUCUCUUCCUUUCCGACCACGCCGCGUUUCGUCGCGACCCUCCUCGACGCCCCCGGACAACCACCAAAGAUCCAAUUUACCGCCCGCAAUAAGACAGUGGACAAUCUGUCGGUCGACGUACCGCAUUCUUUGUAUUCUACUUUACAAUAAGGAUCUUCAACAAGAACGACGUCAUCCUUUUCGUAUUUUUGGUCGAGCAUAGCCAUUUGCCUUGGACUGCCGCUGUACAUCGUAAACUACAUAACAAAAGCAUUGUGCAAAUAUAAAUUUUAAGUGUCACAGAACGUACACUUUGCAAAGAAGUGCAUCAGACACCAAAUAUAAUUACAUAUGCGUACAAAAUUUGUAAAACUCGAUUUAGUACUCGAGGUAGUAUCUCUCCCUUGAUGGUCGAACCAUUGUGCACAGGACAUCCUAUAUGACCGGAUCAGUAAAACGAGGGAACCAAAUUUCAUUUGGAAGAAAAGGCAAUAUUUAAGAUUCAUAUCUUAGAUUUUUAUUAUGCUCUGAGUACUAUACAAUAUUAUACAAAGGAAAUCUAGUAUACGCGCACCGACAGUUUCCUACGGCUGAGCAAGCGUGAACACGGCGCGCGUGUUAAUACCAACUUGGAGGAAAGAUAUUUGGUACGAGUUAGCGACGGGAAAAAAGUGCAGGGUGCACAAGCAAGGACUCGCACUACACGCUAAACAGUGCGUUUCUAAUAUAACACAUUGUCACUUCGUUAUCGAAGCAAAUUUCGUGAAUAGUAACAAGUUUCUCGGGAAACAACACGCUUCUUUAUUGACAUGUCUCCACUAUCAGACGGAUAAUUCGGAUAAAAUACACAGAUACACGAAGACACUCGAAACAUGGAAUUCCCGAUUGUCAAAGACGAUCCUUUAACUAAUACAAAUGAGCAUGUUUCCCAAGAAAUGUAUGGGUUCGUUAAUACUUCUAAAAAAUAAAGAGCCUACUUUGUCUUGUAAUACUAAUCGUCUGACUAUACAGCUAAACUAAGUGUAGACGACACGCGAGUUACAAACUAUCGCGGUGGAUACCAUCGUUUGCCUACACGAAGCAACUUGCAACACAAUUGUGAAUAUUCUACAUCUAAGAUAAUGGUGACAAUAAUAAUAAUAAUAACAUAAAGUACUGGAAUAGAAUACAAUGCACUAUGUAUAACGUAAUAUAACAAUGAAACGCAUACGCAUAUACCCGUGACGUGAUGCUCGCAAACUUUUCUCAAGUCCAAGGUAUUUACUUUUGUCAUAUAAAAUGGCAACUCUGCAAUAAUUGAUUACUGAGAGCAAUAUAAUACACGACCGCGUAGAGUUCAUAAAUAACUUUCUUCCCGUUCAAGAAAUAGAGAGCUCAGAUAUUUGUUAGCGAGAAUUUAAUAAAUAAGACGAAAUGAAUAAACGUUUUUCUUAUAAUGCGCUAAAUACGAAAAAAUAUGAGCAUACUUCGAACUUCACUUUGCCGAACAUUUCAACCACGCGCACGUGCGUACAAUUAUGCGAAUGGACGAUUUUAUACACAGAGUGAGAACGGUUCGAUGCGAACGACGAAUGAUGAUCAAGUGAAGUGACGUGCUUCACCGAGCCCAUCGAGACCUUGACGUCUUUUCAGAGAUACGUGUAUUCAUAACUCUCUUCCGCUUUGAAAAUACGCCUUCUCCGUUCAACGAAAGGUGUCGAUCUCUAACGAACAAACUUUAAAUUUCGCGAUUCCUACUAGAAGCAUCGUAACUUUCGGUAAAAGCGUAUCGAGGCGACAUCAAAGGUCGAUCGAGAAGCUCGACGACUCGCGGAAGAAACAACCGUAUCGUGUCAUGGGGAUGGGUCCCUCAGUGGUCUUACGCGAACGACUUCUUGAUUUUGUUGAGAGCGCUCGUGAGGUGGGUCAUCUCGAUAUUCAUCUGGGACAUGAGAUUCUCCAACCUGUCCACGCUGUCAAGAAUCUCUACGCGUUGAGUGUGUGGAUCGUAUCUCACUUCGAAAGGUCGGCUCAUGGUGGCCACCUGAACAAAAAAGUUUAAUAUUCAAUACAAGUUGCUUUGGAAAAACAUAAUUGUUUAUGAAAUGAAAAAUGAAAAAAUUUGCUUUAACCGUGUAAAUCAACAAUCAACUAACUAUGUAAUUUAGUUUGGAAAAUCUUUCGUUUUGCGCACAAUAAAAUCAAAAUAUAAAGUGUAUACUCGUCGAGUGCACCUAGGGUAUAUUUUAAUGAAAAACCAAAACAAAGAAAAAUUAUAUGCUUAUGUGAAAAAGUAAAUAAUUGAUCGUUGAAAAAAUUAGUAUUAUUUCACGCUUUAAGAUGACGUGUAUACUCGCCAAACGCAGUUAACUGAUUAAAUAUCAUUUAAACUGUUAAAUGGUUUGGUCCAAAUUCAUCAAAACCAAAGUUGAUACAUCAAGUGCGAGAUCUAUUUAUAUAAAUUAAAAUUUUACUGAUUUAAAAUAUCUUUACAGCUAAACGAAUUCUAUAAAUUAUAAUUGAAUUUUUUUUGUUUAAUGCUUUAUCUCGAGAAUUUAUUCUACGGUUUUCUACUUCAAGUUUUCUUUUCAAUUGUGCGAUAAGUAAUACGGCGGCCAGUGUGUUAAUGAUCGGCGCAAAAGGGUUGGCGAUGCUAGUGCGCAACGCGCCACGCGUUGAUGUCUCCGAUAUUGAACUGUACUCACCCAGCGACGGAAUUUCUCUUUGGCGUCCUCGAAACUUUCCGCGACGAAGUAAAUUGGCUGGUAUUCUUGAUCUUGGUAUUUUUGGACCGCCGUAGUUUCUGGCUCGAAUGGUCGGUGCUCACAUUUGUCGCUCAGCGCGUGAAGCAGCUCUCCAUAAGCCGACAGAAGACCGGCGCCGUAAGCUUUCACCUCUUUACCUUCCUUACAGAGACCAAAUUCAACUGUGAACCAGUAGAUAGUGGACAGUUUCUCGAUUUCCUCGUCUGAAGCACCGAGCGAGGCAAGACCGAUUUCUUGGGAGAACUGGGCGAAGCUUGGAUCAGCCAAUAAUGGCAUGUGUCCCAAGAGUUCGUGGAUGCAGUCCCUGUAAAUAAAAGAAUGGAACAUUGAUUUAAAUUAUUAUCAUAACAGUGUUAUAAUAGGUGUAAUGAUAUUGUUGAAUCUCUAUGAAAAGUGAAGGAAAUAUGAGAAAGUUGUUUGUUUUCAAUUUUUUAGAAGUUUAAUAUUUAUAAGUUUACUAUAGUUGAAUUUUGCAAUGUUUUGAUUGGGAAGUUAUUUAGAUGUUUUAAAUCAGAGUAACCUAAUUGCAGUAUCAUUUUUCCAAAAAUUCAAUGAUACUGAUAAAAAUGAAAAAAGUGGAAACAUUAAUUACACGAUGAAUCCAUUGAUUUCGAUGUAUUAAACAUACAGUAUCACAUUGUCUUUCAUAAAGCGAUCGAUAAACUCAAA